rnacentral:lncRNA from 1 species
GAAAAAUUGCAGCUGCCUUCUCCCCAAGAGGAAGAGUUCCUAGAUCAAGUGAAGAGGAAGCUGGCUCAGACCAGCCCUGAGAAAGACCUGUUGACCACAAAGCCUUGUCACUGUAAGGAUAUCCUGAAGUUAGUGCUCUUACCCCUCACCCAGCAUUGCUUGGUCGUUGGAGAAACCACCUGUGCAUUUUAUUACCUGCUGGAGGCUGCGGCUGCCUGCUUGGACCUGUCAGAUAAUUAUAUGGCCUUCUUUUAUUUGAGGAAGGCAAGCAGUCU